GACGAACGCUGGCGGCGUGCCUAAUACAUGCGAGUAGAACGCUGAAGAGAGGAGCUUGCUCUUCUUGGAUGAGUUGCGAACGGGUGAGUAACGCGUAGGUAACCUGCCUGGUAGCGGGGGAUAACUAUAGGAAACGAUAGCUAAUACCGCAUAACAACAGUUGUUGCAUUACAGCUGUUUAAAAGAUGCAAUUUCAUCACUACCAGAUGGACCUGCGUUGUCUUAGCUAGUUGGUGAGGUAACGGCUCACCAAGGCGACGAUACAUAGCCGCCCUGAGAGGGUGCUCGGCAUCACUGGGACUGGGGAACGGCCCAGAACCCUGCGGGAGGCAGCCGUAGGGGAUCCUCAGCAAUGGGGGGAACCCGGACCGAGCGACGCCGCGGGAGUGAAGGAGGUUUUAGGGUCGUAAAGGUCUGUUGUAAGAGAAGAACGGGUGUGAGAGUGGAACGUUCACACUGUGACGGUAUCUUAACAGAAAGCGACGGCUAACUACGUG
rnacentral:rRNA from 1 species